GACGAACGCUGGCGGCGUGCUUAACACAUGCAAGUCGAACGGACAGGCCCUGCUUUUGUUGGUUGCUCGAGUGGCGAACGGGUGAGUAACACGUGAGUAACCUGCCCUUGACUUUGGGAUAUCUUCAGGAAACUGGGGCUAAUACCGGAUAUGACCUCCUGCUGCAUGUUGUUCUUUGGAAAGUUUCGGCGGUUGUGGAUGGACUCGCGGCUUAUCCGCUUUUUUGUGGGGUAGUGGCUUACCAAGGCUUUGACGGGUAGCCGGCCUGGGAGGGGUACCGGCGACAUGGGGACUGAGAGACGGACCAGAAUCCUACGGGAGGCAGCAGGGGGGAAUAUUGCACAAUGGGCGGAAGCCUGAGGCAGCGGCGCCGCGUGCGGGAUGACGGCCUUCGGGUUGUAAACCGAUUUCGAAGGUGACGAAGAGUGAGUGACGGUAAUGGGUAAAGAAGCAACGGCUAACUACGUG
rnacentral:rRNA from 1 species